CCUUUGACGUUAGCGGCGGACGGGUGAGUAACACGUGGGUAACCUACCUAUAAGACUGGGAUAACUUCGGGAAACCGGAGCUAAUACCGUAUAAUAUUUCGAACCGCAUGGUUCGAUAGUGAAAGAUGGUUUUGCUAUCACUUAUAGAUGGACCCGCGCCGUAUUAGCUAGUUGGUAAGGUAACGGCUUACCAAGGCGACGAUACGUAGCCGACCUGAGAGGGUGAUCGGCCACACUGGAACUGAGACACGGUCCAGACUCCUACGGGAGGCAGCAGCG
rnacentral:rRNA from 1 species